GCAGCAGGCGCGAAAACUUUACAAUGCGGGAAACCGUGAUAAGGGAACUCCGAGUGUCCGUAAAUGCGGACUGUCCGUAUGUUUAAAAAGCAUGCGAAGAAAGGGCCGGGCAAGACCGGUGCCAGCCGCCGCGGUAAUACCGGCGGCUCGAGUGGUGGCCACUAUUAUUGGGCUUAAAGCGUUCGUAGCUGGAUUGUUAAGUCUCUUGGGAAAUCUACCGGCUUAACCGAUAGGCGUCCAAGGGAUAC
rnacentral:rRNA from 1 species